rnacentral:lncRNA from 1 species
AUUUCCUUAUAUGGACUUUUAAAAACAUCACAUGGCCAAUUCUGCCUGAGCUCACUUAAGCUUCUACUUCCUUAGAUGUAAAAGAUAGACCCUGUGACCUCUCUGGGUUUUGUUUGUUCUCUCUCUCUCUCUCCUUCUCUCUCUUUCUUGUUUUGGGUUCAUCCAUAUUUCAUCAUAUAAUUUUGCUUUUUAUUUUCUUCUAAGGCAAGAAGUACUGAAGCCAGUUCUCAAAAAAUCGAGUGCCAGCUAUGCACAAAGAAGGCAUAGCACUGUCACCAGAGACCCUCGAAGAUCAGAAUCACAAGAUUGCCUCAACUCCACUGGCCCUUCCAGGCAUUCUGAGAUGAGGUGUUCAUGAUUGUCACCAUUCCAGUUUUGCAAAGUGAGCCCGCAUGAAACUACAGGAGAGGGUAGCUGUGCUGAUGGUGGGAAGAAACCAACAUCUGAGGCUUUCCCCCCAGAGCUAGAUUGAACAAAGGUAAAUUCUCAAGGUAAAAAGAAAUACAGACAAGUUCAGAAACUGAUCCCAGUUCACCUGGCACUUCCUCUUCACAGGAUCACUUAAGAAUAAAGCAUUAAUUUUACCCUCAGUGUUGAUUUUCCUCUUUCUGUUCUUCCAUCUCUGAAAUCAGGUCAAGUUGGCCCUACCACCAUUUAACCAUGGCAACAAGUUCCCAUGUUUGGCCACGGCCUUAUUUUUGUUUGCUUGUUUGUUUUUAAAAUUAUUUUAUUUUAAAUUUUGUGGGUACAUAGUAGAUAUAUAGAUUUAUAGGGUAUAUGAGUUUUUUGAUACAGGCAUGCAAUGUGAAAUAAGCACAUCAUGGAGAAUAGGGUAGCCACAGAUCCCACUUCUUGAUGGAAGGAGUGACAAUGAAUUUGUGGCCAUUUAAAAAAAACCUCUAUAUUAUCCAGGAGAUAAAUAGCACUGAAGGAACUCUCUUUAUUCAAUGCUAGAUUGAAACAUGUAUACUGCCAGGGAUUCCUUUUUCCCAUCUAGCUUGGGGUUCACACAAGAAAGCAAGCUCAGCUCACAUCAUAUCUUAGUUCACUGGAUCUUAAAAUUUUGGCCAAAAAGGAGAAAAUAAGUGAGAAC